rnacentral:rRNA from 1 species
CCUACUGGAGGCUGCAGUGGGGAAUAUUGGACAAUGGGCGAAAGCCUGAUCCAGCCAUGCCGCGUGUGUGAAGAAGGCCUUCGGGUUGUAAAGCACUUUCAGUGGGGAAGAAAGCCUUGGGGCUAAUACCCUCGAGGAAGGACAUCACCCACAGAAGAAGCACCGGCUAACUCCGUGCCAGCAGCCGCGGUAAUACGGAGGGUGCGAGCGUUAAUCGGAAUUACUGGGCGUAAAGCGCGCGUAGGCGGUCUGAUAAGCCGGUUGUGAAAGCCCCGGGCUCAACCUGGGAACGGCAUCCGGAACUGUCAGGCUAGAGUGCAGGAGAGGAAGGUAGAAUUCCCGGUGUAGCGGUGAAAUGCGUAGAGAUCGGGAGGAAUACCAGUGGCGAAGGCGGCCUUCUGGACUGACACUGACGCUGAGGUGCGAAAGCGUGGGUAGCAAACAGGAUUAGAUACCCGUGUAGUC